ACACUCCACGGGAGGCAGCAGUGGGGAAUUUUGGACAAUGGGCGAAAGCCUGAUCCAGCAAUGCCGCGUGAGUGAAGAAGGCCUUCGGGUUGUAAAGCUCUUUUGUCAGGGAAGAAACGGUGAGAGCUAAUAUCUUUUGCUAAUGACGGUACCUGAAGAAUAAGCACCGGCUAACUACGUGCCAGCAGCCGCGGUAAUACGUAGGGUGCAAGCGUUAAUCGGAAUUACUGGGCGUAAAGCGUGCGCAGGCGGUUUUGUAAGUCUGAUGUGAAAUCCCCGGGCUCAACCUGGGAAUUGCAUUGGAGACUGCAAGGCUAGAAUCUGGCAGAGGGGGGUAGAAUUCCACGUGUAGCAGUGAAAUGCGUAGAUAUGUGGAGGAACACCGAUGGCGAAGGCAGCCCCCUGGGUCAAGAUUGACGCUCAUGCACGAAAGCGUGGGGAGCAAACAGGAUUAGAUACCCUGGUAGUCCCAUGA
rnacentral:rRNA from 1 species